CCUUUUUGCCAGGUGGCAGGUUAGGGACGGAGGGCUUCUUUCGGAAGACGAGGAAGAGAAGGUAAAGAGAGAUGUAGAGGAUGGAGAGGUAAAGAAACAGCUGGGAAUUGAAAUCCAUCUUCUUCUUCUUCUUCUUCUCAGAAUGCAGCUAUUGAUACUGAGAAGACAGAA